GGAGCUGGGGGGAGAUGGUGAGAGCUGAGGGGAUAAGGGAGUGGCAAAGGCUGAGGCAGGUGGCAGUGCUAAGGGGACUGUGACUUUGAGAUGAUAAUAGGGUCUGAGGCGAGUGGAGGGGUCUGAAGGGACUGGGGGAGCUGAGGGGACUCGGGGGCUCUGGGUUUGCCAAGGGCAUGGUGGGGCUGAGGGGUUAGGGGGGGACCAGCGGGCAGCACGGUGGGGUCCAGGCCUGUAGCUCUGCUGGACCACAGCACCAAUUCCAGACUCUCCACUUUUGCCAGGACUGCCCUGAAUUCCUUGUGAGCAGCAAGAGACUGAUGAGGGCCAAGAGAGAGAAGCUGACGACCACCAGCCACAUCUUGAACAGGGACCUGCUGCUGCUGCCUGAGACCCUUGAUGUCCAUCUGUACCUCUCCAGGAGGGCUGCUCUGCAUGGGAGGGAGAGAACGAGGAAGAGCUGGUGAAGAUGGGGCGGCUGGGGUCCCUCUGUAUAUACUUAUAUACAGACAUGUGUAUAGUUAUAGUUAUACCUAGGUAGUUAUAGGUAUAUAGAUAUUUACAUAUGUAGGUUGAAUAUUUGUAUAGGUAUAUUUAUGUAUUUGUCUAUUUAUAUAUGUACCUAGUUGUAUUUAUGUAUGUGUCUAGUUGUAUUUAUAUAUGUAUGUUAUAUUUCUAUCUGUAUUUAGUUAUAAUUACAUGUGUAUGCAGUUGUAUAGCUAUAUAAUUAUAUUGAUCUAGUUAUAGGUAUAUGGAUUUUUAGAUGCA